GAUGAACGCUAGCGACAGGCCUAACACAUGCAAGUCGAGGGGCAGCACGAAUCAAGCUUGCUUGAUUUGGUGGCGACCGGCGCACGGGUGCGUAACAGGCGUGCAAUCUGUCCAUAAUCGGGGAAUAGCCCAGCGAAAGUUGGAUUAAUGCUCCAUGUGAGCAGGGGAGGCAUCUCCUUUGUUUGAAACGUAAGGAUUAUGGGUGAGCACGCUUCUGAUUAGGUAGUUGGUGAGGUAACGGCUCACCAAGCCGACGAUCAGUAGGGGUUCUGAGAGGAAGGUCCCCCACAUUGGAACUGAGACACGGCCCAA
rnacentral:rRNA from 1 species